GAUGAACGCUGGCGGCGUGCCUAAUACAUGCAAGUCGAGCGAACGGACGAGAAGCUUGCUUUUCUGAUGUUAGCGGCGGACGGGUGAGUAACACGUGUAUAACCUACCUAUAAGACUGGGAUAACUUCGGGAAACCGGAGCUAAUACCGGAUAAUAUUUUGAACCGCAUGGUUCAAAAGUGAAAUACGGUCGUGCUGGCACUUAUAGAUGGAUACGCGCUGCAUUAGCUAGUUGGUAAGGUAACGGCUUACCAAGGCAACGAUGCAUAGACGACGUGAGGGGGUGAUAGGCCCCACUGGAGCUUGGCCACGCUCCAGAGUCCUACGGGAGGCACCAGACGGCAACCGUCCGCAAUGGGGGAAAGCCUGACGGAGCAACGCCGCGUGAGUGAUGAAGGUCUUCGGUUCGUGAAACUCUGUUAUUAGUGAAGAACAGAUGUGUAAGUAAAUGUGCACAUCUUGACGGUACCUAGUCAGAAAGCCCCGGCUAACUACGUG
rnacentral:rRNA from 1 species